CCUACGGGAGGCUGCAGUGAGGAAUAUUGGUCAAUGGGCGCUAGCCUGAACCAGCCAAGUAGCGUGAAGGAUGACGGCCCUAUGGGUUGUAAACUUCUUUUAUAUGAGAAUAAAGUGCAGUAUGUAUACUGCUUUGCAUGUACCUUAUGAAUAAGGAUCGGCUAACUCCGUGCCAGCAGCCGCGGUAAUACGGAGGAUUCGAGCGUUAUCCGGAUUUAUUGGGUUUAAAGGGAGCGUAGGCGGGUUGUUAAGUCAGUUGUGAAAGUUUGCGGCUCAACCGUAAAAUUGCAGUUGAUACUGGCAGCCUUGAGUACAGUAGAGGUAGGCGGAAUUCGUGGUGUAGCGGUGAAAUGCUUAGAUAUCACGAAGAACUCCGAUUGCGAAGGCAGCCUGCUGGACUGUAACUGACGCUGAUGCUCGAAAGUGUGGGUAUCAAACAGGAUUAGAUACCCGAGUAGUC
rnacentral:rRNA from 1 species